AUACGUAGGUGGCAAGCGUUAUCCGGAAUUACUGGGUGUAAAGGGAGCGCAGGCGGGAGAGCAAGUCAGCGGUGAAAUGUAUGGGCUUAACCCAUGAACUGCCGUUGAAACUGUUGUUCUUGAGUGGAGUAGAGGUAGGCGGAAUUCCGAGUGUAGCGGUGAAAUGCGUAGAUAUUCGGAGGAACACCAGUGGCGAAGGCGGCCUACUGGGCUCUUACUGACGCUGAGGCUCGAAAGUGUGGGGAGCAAACAGGAUUAGAUACCCUGGUAGUCCACACUGUAAACGAUGAUUGCUAGGUGUGGGGGGUCUGACCCCUUCCGUGCCGGAGUUAACGCAAUAAGCAAUCCACCUGGGGAGUACGGCCGCAAGGUUGAAACUUAAAGGAAUUGACGGGG
rnacentral:rRNA from 1 species